rnacentral:lncRNA from 1 species
UAAUUUUAAAAUAUAGAAGGAAGUAUGGAGUUUGGUCCACUUGAGGAUUUAUUCAAUGGAAUAUCAGACUUUGUUUCUUUUUACUGGCACUGUGGAAAUGUGAAUGAUAACAAGUUGGUGACAUCUUUCAGAUGGAAACAUUGCCGGAGGAAGAGGUCAUCAAGUUGGCAAAGAAGCCAUUUUGUGAAGCACCUGUUGAUUCAAGGCUUUUGAUGAUGAACUCACGUACGGAGACUUUAAUUCUUCCUAGAUCUUUGCAUUUGGUGAGUCACAGAAAGUAUCUGAGUAGAUAAUUAUUUGUAAGCAUGUCCACAAUAAUCUCAUGUAGUAU